rnacentral:rRNA from 1 species
AGUGAACGCUGGCGGUAGGCCUAACACAUGCAAGUCGAACGGCAGCACAGUAAGAGCUUGCUCUUACGGGUGGCGAGUGGCGGACGGGUGAGGAAUACAUCGGAAUCUACUUUUUCUUGGGGGAUAACGUAGGGAAACUUACGCUAAUACCGCAUACGACCUACGGGUGAAAGCAGGGGAUCUUCGGACCUUGCGCGAUUGAAUUAGCCGAUGUCGGAUUAGCUAGUUGGCAGGGUAAAGGCCCACCAAGGCGACGAUCCGUAGCUGGUCUGAGAGGAUGAUCAGCCACACUGGAACUGAGACACGGUCCAGACUCCUACGGGAGGCAGCAGUGGGGAAUAUUGGACAAUGGGCGCAAGCCUGAUCCAGCCAUACCGCGUGAGUGAAGAAGGCCUUCGGGUUGUAAAGCUCUUUUAUUGGGAAAGAAAAGCAGCAGGUUAAUCCCCCGCUGUUCUGACGGUACCCAAAGAAUAAGCAACGGCUAACUUCGUG